rnacentral:rRNA from 1 species
CCCCGUGGGGUGCUAAUACAUGCAAGUCGAACGCGUUGGCCCAAUUGAUUGAUGGUGCUUGCACCUGAUUGAUUUUGGUCGCCAACGAGUGGCGGACGGGUGAGUAACACGUAGGUAACCUGCCCAGAAGCGGGGGACAACAUUUGGAAACAGAUGCUAAUACCGCAUAACAGCGUUGUUCGCAUGAACAACGCUUAAAAGAUGGCUUCUCGCUAUCACUUCUGGAUGGACCUGCGGUGCAUUAGCUUGUUGGUGGGGUAACGGCCUACCAAGGCGAUGAUGCAUAGCCGAGUUGAGAGACUGAUCGGCCACAAUGGGACUGAGACACGGCCCAUACUCCUACGGGAGGCAGCAGUAGGGAAUCUUCCACAAUGGGCGCAAGCCUGAUGGAGCAACACCGCGUGAGUGAAGAAGGGUUUCGGCUCGUAAAGCUCUGUUGUUAAAGAAGAACACGUAUGAGAGUAACUGUUCAUACGUUGACGGUAUUUAACCAGAAAGUCACGGCUAACUACGUGCCAGCAGCCGCGGUAAUACGUAGGUGGCAAGCGUUAUCCGGAUUUAUUGGGCGUAAAGAGAGUGCAGGCGGUUUUCUAAGUCUGAUGUGAAAGCCUUCGGCUUAACCGGAGAAGUGCAUCGGAAACUGGAUAACUUGAGUGCAGAAGAGGGUAGUGGAACUCCAUGUGUAGCGGUGGAAUGCGUAGAUAUAUGGAAGAACACCAGUGGCGAAGGCGGCUACCUGGUCUGCAACUGACGCUGAGACUCGAAAGCAUGGGUAGCGAACAGGAUUAGAUACCCUGGUAGUCCAUGCCGUAAACGAUGAGUGCUAGGUGUUGGAGGGUUUCCGCCCUUCAGUGCCGGAGCUAACGCAUUAAGCACUCCGCCUGGGGAGUACGACCGCAAGGUUGAAACUCAAAGGAAUUGACGGGGGCCCGCACAAGCGGUGGAGCAUGUGGUUUAAUUCGAAGCUACGCGAAGAACCUUACCAGGUCUUGACAUCUUGCGCCAACCCUAGAGAUAGGGCGUUUCCUUCGGGAACGCAAUGACAGGUGGUGCAUGGUCGUCGUCAGCUCGUGUCGUGAGAUGUUGGGUUAAGUCCCGCAACGAGCGCAACCCUUGUUACUAGUUGCCAGCAUUAAGUUGGGCACUCUAGUGAGACUGCCGGUGACAAACCGGAGGAAGGUGGGGACGACGUCAGAUCAUCAUGCCCCUUAUGACCUGGGCUACACACGUGCUACAAUGGACGGUACAACGAGUCGCGAACUCGCGAGGGCAAGCAAAUCUCUUAAAACCGUUCUCAGUUCGGACUGCAGGCUGCAACUCGCCUGCACGAAGUCGGAAUCGCUAGUAAUCGCGGAUCAGCAUGCCGCGGUGAAUACGUUCCCGGGCCUUGUACACACCGCCCGUCACACCAUGAGAGUUUGUAACACCCAAAGUCGGUGGGGUAACCUUUUAGGAGCCAGCCGCGUAAGGUGGACCAG